rnacentral:rRNA from 1 species
GAUGAACGCUGGCGGCGUGCUUAACACAUGCAAGUCGAACGAUGAAGCCCAGCUUGCUGGGUGGAUUAGUGGCGAACGGGUGAGUAACACGUGAGUAACCUGCCCUUAACUCUGGGAUAAGCCUGGGAAACUAGGCCUAAUACCGGAUAGGAGCGCCUACCGCAUGGUGGGUGUUGGAAAGAUUUAUCGGUUUUGGAUGGACUCGCGGCCUAUCAGCUUGUUGGUGAGGUAAUGGCUCACCAAGGCGACGACGGGUAGCCGGCCUGAGAGGGUGACCGGCCACACUGGGACUGAGACACGGCCCAGACUCCUACGGGAGGCAGCAGUGGGGAAUAUUGCACAAUGGGCGCAAGCCUGAUGCAGCGACGCCGCGUGAGGGAUGACGGCCUUCGGGUUGUAAACCUCUUUCAGUAGGGAAGAAGCGAAAGUGACGGUACCUGCAGAAGAAGCACCGGCUAACUACGUGCCAGCAGCCGCGGUAAUACGUAGGGUGCGAGCGUUAUCCGGAAUUAUUGGGCGUAAAGAGCUCGUAGGCGGUUUGUCGCGUCUGUCGUGAAAGUCCGGGGCUUAACCCCGGAUCUGCGGUGGGUACGGGCAGACUAGAGUGCAGUAGGGGAGACUGGAAUUCCUGGUGUAGCGGUGGAAUGCGCAGAUAUCAGGAGGAACACCGAUGGCGAAGGCAGGUCUCUGGGCUGUAACUGACGCUGAGGAGCGAAAGCAUGGGGAGCGAACAGG